UAGGGAAUCUUCGGCAAUGGGGGGAACCCUGACCGAGCAACGCCGCGUGAGUGAAGAAGGUUUUCGGAUCGUAAAGCUCUGUUGUUAAGGAAGAACGAGUGUGAGAAUGGAAAGUUCAUACUGUGACGGUACUUAACCAGAAAGGGACGGCUAACUACGUGCCAGCAGCCGCGGUAAUACGUAGGUCCCGAGCGUUGUCCGGAUUUAUUGGGCGUAAAGCGAGCGCAGGCGGUUAGAUAAGUCUGAAGUUAAAGGCAGUGGCUCAACCAUUGUAGGCUUUGGAAACUGUUUAACUUGAGUGCAGAAGGGGAGAGUGGAAUUCCAGUGGGAGCGGUGAAAUGCGUAGAUAUAUGGAGGAACACCGGUGGCGAAAGCGGCUCUCUGGUCUGUAACUGACGCUGAGGCUCGAAAGCGUGGGGAGCGAACAGG
rnacentral:rRNA from 1 species